AAGGUGUCACUUGGGGGUUAAACAGCGU
rnacentral:piRNA from 1 species